rnacentral:rRNA from 1 species
UGAAUUCAAGCAUAUCAAUAAGCGGAGGAAAAGAAACUAACAAGGAUUCCCCUAGUAAUGGCGAAUGAAGCGGGAACAGCUCAAAUUUGAAAUCUGCGUCGCCUGCGACGCCGAAUUGUAGUUUCUAGAAGCACUUUCUAGGCGGGCCCGGGGCCGUCCAAGUUGCUUGGAACAGCACGUCAUAGAGGGUGACAACCCCGUCUGUGGCGGAACCGGCCGCUCACGAUGUGCUUUCGACGAGUCGGGUUGUUUGGGAAUGCAGCCCAAAAUGGGUGGUAAACUCCAUCUAAAGCUAAAUAUUGGCACGAGACCGAUAGCGAACAAGUACCGUGAGGGAAAGAUGAAAAGCACUUUGAAAAGAGAGUUAAAAAGUACGUGAAACCGUUAAAAGGGAAACGGAUGGGGUUAGCAAUGCGCUCUGCGAGAUUCAGCCGGGUGGGUCGUCGGGCGGGCGGUUUGCGGAUCUGAAUGGACCGCGGCCGUCCGGUUCGGCGGUUCGACCGUCGCACUUCUCGCGAGCGCGCGCCAAUGUCGGUUGGCACUGGGUCUUAAGGUGGCGGGCAAGGUAGGUUGUUCCCUCCGGGGAGUAGCUGUUAUAGGCCCGCGACGUAUGGCUCGGAGCCGACCGUGGAGCCGCGGCGCAUGCCUCUUUUGGCUAGGGUCCCGUCGUUCCGGUCGGUCGUCGACUGCGGUGGACUGCGUGCAGUGCGCCGCGCCAGCUGCCGGUCGCGACGGUGGUGACUUCGUACAAUGCGCCCAGGACGUUGGCGGUCAAAUGGCCUCAUUCGACCCGUCUUGAAACACGGACCAAGGAGUCUAACAUGUGCGCGAGUCUUUGAGUGAUCGAAACUCGCAGGCGGAAUGAAAGUGAAGACGGCUUCGGCCGCCGAGGUGAGAGCCUGUCCCCACGGGGUCGGGUGCAUCAUCGACCGACCUAUUCUACUCUUAGGAAGGUUUGAGUAAGAGCGCAUCUGUUGGGACCCGAAAGAUGGUGACUAUGCCUG